rnacentral:tRNA from 1 species
GGAGAGAUGGCUGAGUGGUCUAAGGCGCACGACUGGAAAUCGUGUGAUGGCGAAUACCCAUCCGAGGGUUCAAAUCCCUCUCUCUCCGCCA